rnacentral:lncRNA from 1 species
AUUUGGAACAAGCUGACUGGUUUUUUUUUCUUUUUAAAUUGGCUGAAUUGGUAAGAACAAUGAGCUUUGCUGCAUUUUAAUUUGCUUAAUCCUAUUCCUCCAAUGCCCCCUCCCCCCCACCUCAUGAUAGCCUUAAAAAAUGAAAAGGAAUACAGACCUUACAGUAUUAAUUCAGAAAAUUCAUUUAAAAAUUACAUAAACAACAAUGAACCCUGGGGGACAGAAGAGUGUAGGAUGACAUAUUUAAAGUGCUGAAAGAAAAAAUACCGUAAACCAAGAAUUCUACAUUUAGGAAAACUAUUCUUCAAAAAUGAAAGAGAAAUUAGGGCAUUUCCAGAUUUAA